GAUGAACGCUGGCGGCGUGCUUAACACAUGCAAGUCGAACGGUGAAAGAGAGCUUGCUCUCUGGAUCAGUGGCGAACGGGUGAGUAACACGUGAGCAAUCUGCCCCUGACUCUGGGAUAAGCGCUGGAAACGGCGUCUAAUACCGGAUACGAGCUGCGAAGGCAUCUUCAGCAGCUGGAAAGAACUUCGGUCAGGGAUGAGCUCGCGGCCUAUCAGCUAGUUGGUGAGGUAAUGGCUCACCAAGGCGUCGACGGGUAGCCGGCCUGAGAGGGGGACCGGCCACACUGGGACUGAGACACGGCCCAGACUCCUACGGGAGGCAGCAGUGGGGAAUAUUGCACAAUGGGCGCAAGCCUGAUGCAGCAACGCCGCGUGAGGGACGACGGCCUUCGGGUUGUAAACCUCUUUUAGCAGGGAAGAAGCGAAAGUGACGGUACCUGCAGAAAAAGCACCGGCUAACUACGUGCCAGCCGCCGCUGUAACAC
rnacentral:rRNA from 1 species